rnacentral:rRNA from 1 species
CGCCUGUUUAUCAAAAACAUCGCCUCCAGAAAAACUAUUGGAGGUCCAUCCUGCCCAGUGAUUUUUAUUAAACGGCCGCGGUAUCCUGACCGUGCUAAGGUAGCAUAAUCAUUUGCCUUUUAAUUGAAGGCUAGUAUAAACGGACAAACGAAAAAAUAUCUGUCUCAACAAUAACAAAAAAAAUUGAUCAUUAAGUGAAGAAACUUAAAUUUUUCAAAAAGACGAAAAGACCCUAUGGCGCUUUACUUUAUCUUUUUAACUACAAAUUAUUAAGUACAGUUUAGUUGGGGCGACUAAGGAGAAAAACAAAACCUCUUUAUACAAAAAGAAAACAAUUCAAAUUUAUCCAUUUUUAUGAAUAAGGAAUAAGUAACCCUAGGGAUAACAGGCUAAUCUUUCUUGAGAGUUCACAUUAACAGAAAGGGUUGGCACCUCGAUGUUGGCUUAAAGUUCCUUUAAGGUGCAGCAACCUUAAAAGUGGGUUUGUUCAACCCUUAAAACUUUACGUGAUC